rnacentral:rRNA from 1 species
AUGCAGUCCGGGUAUGGAGGGGUGUCGGAGUUCCAGCAGUUCAUCAUGGACGGCGGCUUCGCCAUGGCGGCGGCCCCGCAGCAGCAGGCGCAGGCGGCUGCCGCUGCGGCGGCGGCGGCGGGGGGGCAGGAGCUGGGCGCGCCGUUCAGGUACCAGCCGCUGCACCACCACGCGAUGCAGCACCAUCCCCAGCAGCAGCAGCAGCAGCAUCCGGCGCAGAUGCCGCCCCACUUCGCGCACUUCGGCGUGGCGCCCGCGGCGGCGGCGGCCGGCGGGAUUCCGUUCACGCAGCAGUUCCUCAACCACCAGGCGGCGGCCGCCGGGCACCACCACCAGCAGCACCACCACCUCCAGCUCUUCCACCACGAGCAGCAGCAGCAGCAGCAGCAGCAGCAGCAUCACAAGCCGCAGCCGCCGCCGGCGAGGUGGGCGCCGCAGCAGCAGCACCACCAGCACCCGCACCAGCAGCAGCAGCAUCACCACCACCAGCUGGGGCUGGACGUGGAGGCGGCGGCGGUCCCGGAGAGCUCCCGCGCCACGUCCGGCGGCGCGGCCCCUCCCGGCGUGCCCCCGUUCCUCGCCGCCGCCAUGAACUUCAAGCUGGCCGUGGACCCCGGCGGCGGGAGCGGCGCCACGGACGACGCCCUGAACGACGGCACGGGAGGCGGCGGCGGCGCGGGCAGCGGCAUGAUGCUCCACGGCGGAGGCGGGGGCGACGACGAGGCGGCCACGGAGAGCCGGCUCCGUCGGUGGACCGGCGAGGAGGAGACCUCCAUCAAGGAACCCACCUGGAGGCCGCUGGACAUCGACUACAUACACAGCACGAGCAGCAGCAGCAAGAGGGCGGGCGCCGGGAAGGAGAAGGUGGCCACGCCGGAGUCGCCGGCGCCGGUUGCUCCGGCGGCGAACUACUUCAAGAAGGCCGGUGGCGGGGACGACAAUGCGGGCGCUGCCGCGUCAGCGGGUGGCGGCGGCGGGAACUACAAGCUGUUCAGCGAGCUGGAGGCCAUCUACAAGCCGGGGAGCGGCGGCGGUGCGGGGCAGACGGGCUCCGGCUCUGGCCUCACGGGCGACGACAAUGCCAUCCUCCCGCCGCCGUCCAUGGCCGACCUCCCGGGCGGCGCGCUUGCCGCGGCCGUGGACGCGCCGCAGGCCAACACCUCGGAGACUUCGGCCGGGGAGGACGCGCCGGCGGUGCUGCAGCCGCAGCCGCCGCCUCCGCCGCAGGCGUCGGUGGGGGAGGCGCGCCGGAAGCGGAAGCGCCGGCGGCAGGAGCAGCAGCAGCAGCUGACCGCGUCGGCGUCCUUCUUCGAGCAGCUGGUGCAGCGGCUCAUCGAGCACCAGGAGGGCCUGCACCGCCAGUUCCUGGACGCCAUGGAGCGGCGGGAGCGCGAGCGCGCGGCGCGCGACGAGGCGUGGCGCCGGCAGGAGGCCGACAAGUUCGCGCGCGAGGCGGCCGCGCGCGCCCAGGACCGCGCCAGCGCCGCCGCCCGGGAGACGGCCAUCAUCGCGUACCUCGAGAAGCUCUCCGGCGAGACCAUCACCCUCCCCCAACAGCCGGCGGCCAACCCGGCCGCGCCCACGUCCGCGGACGACGCGACGAGCCACGACGCGGGGAGGGAGCUGGUGCCCUACGAGUGCGGCGAGCUGUCGCUGCCGCUGAUGAGCUCGUCGUCCCGGUGGCCGAAGCACGAGGUGGAGGCGCUGAUCCGGGUGCGGUCCGGGCUGGACAACCGGUUCCAGGAGCCCGGGCUGAAGGGCCCGCUGUGGGAGGAGGUGAGCGCGCGCAUGGCGGCGGCGGGGUACGGCGGCCGGAGCGCCAAGCGGUGCAAGGAGAAGUGGGAGAACAUCAACAAGUACUUCCGCAAGGCCAAGGAGAGCGGCAAGAAGCGCCCCGCGCACGCCAAGACCUGCCCCUACUUCGACGAGCUCGACCGCCUCUACUCCCGCUCCGGCCACGGCUCCGGCGCCUCCUCCGGCGCCGGCAACACCAGCGCCAAAGCCACCGCCAAUGCCAUAGCCACCGCCGACGACGCGGCCAACAAGGCCAGCUCCGAGCUGCUCGACGCGGUGGUCAAGUACCCCACCGACACCCACUACGGCCCGCCUCCGGGGUUCCCAAACGACGGCAAGGAGGACGGCGCAGCGCAGCACGACGGCGAGGGCGACGUGGACAUGGGCAGGGCGUCGGGGAGAGCAGGCGAGGACCACGAUGACGAGGCUGGCCAGAGCCAUGGGCACGACGACGACGACGAUCAUUAG